rnacentral:lncRNA from 1 species
GUGAAUUUUCCAUUUAAUAAAGAGCAUAAAUCUGAUGAAAGAUAAAUAACAGACAACUAGUACUUAGAGAACAUCAUUUAUUAAUCAUUAAAUUUGCAACAUUAAUAAUUAACAAAUUAUUUAGAAUUGUGCUUCAUUUUAGAUGAGAUGAAAUAAAAUAACUGAGAAUGAAAGAAGCAAGAUGGUGGUUAGAGGAGGAGGAAAUGGUAUACCACCUGGCUUUUGCUCAAGUCAUUAUGUCUGUAUGUAAGUCAUCUACAUACCUAGAUGCCUGGACUUUCCUGUAUUUAAGGCAUUUGCUCAUCACUUCAGAAAGAAUUCACCAGAAUUCUCUCCUAUACCCAUCUGCUUCUAUGGAAAUUGCAUCAUGUAUCAUGCUCAUUACAAUUGUUUAUUCAUUAUCAUUGUUCUUUGUGAUAUGAACUGUUUGCCUUAUUUUUUCUAACCAUAAUGAUUUGAG